rnacentral:rRNA from 1 species
GAUGAACGCUGGCGGCGUGCCUAAUACAUGCAAGUCGAGCGAACAGAUGAGGAGCUUGCUCCUCUGACGUUAGCGGCGGACGGGUGAGUAACACGUGGAUAACCUACCUAUAAGACUGGGAUAACUUCGGGAAACCGGAGCUAAUACCGGAUAAUAUAUUGAACCGCAUGGUUCAAUAGUGAAAGACGGUUUUGCUGUCACUUAUAGAUGGAUCCGCGCCGCAUUAGCUAGUUGGUAAGGUAACGGCUUACCAAGGCGACGAUGCGUAGCCGACCUGAGAGGGUGAUCGGCCACACUGGAACUGAGACACGGUCCAGACUCCUACGGGAGGCAGCAGUAGGGAAUCUUCCGCAAUGGGCGAAAGCCUGACGGAGCAACGCCGCGUGAGUGAUGAAGGUCUUCGGAUCGUAAAACUCUGUUAUUAGGGAAGAACAAAUGUGUAAGUAACUAUGCACGUCUUGACGGUACCUAAUCAGAAAACCACGGCUAACUACGUG